rnacentral:rRNA from 1 species
AUCGGAGUCUGCAACCCGACUCCGUGAAGCUGGAUUCGCUAGUAAUCGCGCAUCAGCCAUGGCGCGGUGAAUACGUUCCCGGGCCUUGUACACACCGCCCGUCAAGCCAUGGAAGCCGGGAGUGCCUGAAGUGUGCAACCGCAAGGAGCGCCCUAAGGUAAAACUGGUGACUGGGGCUAAGUCGUAACAAGGUAUC